UCUACCUCAAAGCAGCUGCCUUGGAUCUGUCUUUUUCUCUGAUGUGGGUGGAGCACCAUGUGCUGGUCAAGGAGGAGGUCAAGGAGGAGGUGGCACAAAGAGUGAAAGAACUGAUUCUGCAAGAUGCUGCAGGGACUGAGCAAGCUGUGCCUCUUGUUGAUGAGGAAGAGCGAGAGGACCAUAGUCUUGGACAUGAAGAAGGGCUGUUUGCAGCAUACUUUUAGAGGCAGAAGAAAGCUGUUGUGACCUCUCCAGCACUACAGCUAAGUCACUACCUUGACAUAUGCGAAGGACAGAAUGCCCUCUUGUUCUGGGCAAUGAAUAUGAAGGCUCUUCCUUUACUGUCCCAUGUGGCCAUCAGGGUCUUGGCAGUGCCUGCCUCCAGUGCUCUGGUGGGGCGUGUCUUCAGCCAUGGUGGCAUCAUACUGCGGCCUUAUCGUGCACAAAUGACUGACAGACUUUUAUCGAAUUUUGUCUUUUGCAAAUGCAAUGCAUCAUAGGGCCCUGAGAUAAGAGUAAAAAUUAAACUGUUUAUGCAUCACACACACACACACACACACACACACACACACACACACACACACACACACACACACACACACACACACACACACACGAUUGUAACUUUAUGGAAGGAUUGUUUUAGGUGUCUUGAUUAUAUCUAGAGAGAACGAGAACACUACAAUAUUUAGUUUUUGUUUUGUCUUUCUCAUGGCUACCCAUGUAUUUCCAUGGAAAAAUAAAGUUUAUUUGGAAAGUAGUAAGUAUAUACAUGUUUAAAAGCAUUUCAUUUGCGUAAAGUUAAUGUACUAACUAUUACUCUUGUUAAAAAUAUGAAAUGGUAUUACAUUUGGUGAAGAGCACAUUAUGACUUGUUUAAGACUCAAAGGACUGGAGACUUGACCUGGGACUUGUCGGUCUUGUUUUGACUUGAGACUUGACUUGGACUUGCCUGUCUUGACUUGGGACUUGACUUCGGGUUUGAGUGCUAAGCCUUGAGACUUACUUGUGACUUGUAAAACAAUGACUUGGUCCCACCUCUGCAUAUCUGUGUGUAAAUAUCUCAAAGCCUUUCAUGUGUUUUUUUCCUAUUCCCUUCCCUCUGCUGUUCUGUGUAAUAGGACUGCAAACUGUAGCCCAGGACCAAAUCUACUCACAGUACAUAGAAUGUCUUACUUCUAAUUCCCUACACAGAUCAAUUAUCCACCAGCCUUGAGUUCCAUUGCAGUGCCCUGUAGCUGACACCAGGCAGCCUGUGAGUUCUGCAUGUCUACCCAUGGUGUGCUACCCAGUGGUGAGUCAGGCCUAUCUCCUCUCUGCAGAAUCCCCAGCAUGGAGCCUGCUGGGAGGUGUGAUGAAGGCUCUUAAAACAGCCCUGGUGACGAAUGGCAGCUAUAGCUGUCCCCAUAGGGGGAUUUUUCUGCAUGCUACCACUCAGCUAUAGUCUUUAAUGAUGACACUAUCAAAGCCAUGUCGGACUGCCGAGAUCACCCAGUGUUCACUCCUCUAUUAGCAGGCCUGCUUACACAGCCAGUGGUGGUGGCUAGGUGAGGGAGGAGGGGUGGAGGAAGCAUGCUGGGAGAACGGCUUCCAGCAGCAGUAGAUGGAUGAGAGAGAAGAAGAUGGGAAAGGGGAGUUAGGGAAUCCAUUAUAUACUGCGACUGGCUACUGUAAGCAGAACCUAAAGGUUCGUAGCUCUUUAAACUCACAACCCUUAUACGGGAUGAAAAUGGCAGAUUUGGUCACUGAUGAGCGCCUAAAUUGGAACGUAGUGGUUGUACAGUAACAUGCUAUACAUGACGUCAGAGCUCAGGGUCUCAGUUCUACAGCGCUUGUAUGGUAUUCAACUGACAGACGUUGUAAACGUGAGCGCCAUGCCAACGAAGAUGCCCCCACACCUCUUGCUAAUUAGGCUAAUUUGACGUUUGUCCUAUGUUCUCCGUCACCUAUGCUAAAGUUAUGCCUUACCUGAAUGACCAGACACUGUUUACAAAACUGUUUAUAAUAAACAUACUGUAUGUGUUUAUUCAACAUAAUGUGGUACUAGCUAUGCAUUUCAAUGUCUUGUUUGUUGAUCACCUGUGGAAGAAAUUAAACGUACAGAAUAUUACAA